ensembl:lncRNA
GGGGGGGGCAGCAGGACCAGUGACAGACUUACCAUUAGGCAGAAGUGGCAAUUGCAUCAGGCCACACUUCAUCAAGGGGCCUCGUGAGCUGGGCAUAUAGAUUUUUUACUAGUAUUUUUUUUUAUUUUUUAUUUUUAUAAUUUCACCACUUGAGUCCCACCAUUGUCAGCUCAUCGCUCUCAUUCUGUCUUGCUUCAGCAGGUUGGUCCAGUUGGUCCAGCAGGUUGGUCCAGUAGGUUGGUUCAGCAGGUUGGUUCAGCAGGUUGGUUCAGCAGGUUGGUUCAGCAGGUUGGUUCAGCAGGUUGGUUCAGCAGGUUGGUUCAGCAGGUUGGUUCAGCAGGUUGGUCCAAUAGCAGCUAAAUCUGCUGGAAGGUUCAAAGGAAAUGGGGAGUGAGGUUUUUUUCCCCUGGCUACUGUGCCCAGGUUAAUAAGGCCACAUUGUUGACAAAAAAAGGACUCCAAAAAAGUUAAUGAAUCCAUACAGCCGAAUAAUGAUUCAAAAUAGAUCAAUCAUUUCUUUCCAUACACAUAUUUCAUAUCUAUAUUCCACGUUUUUCUCAUAAUAGUAGAAACAAGUGUCAUCAAUCACCCAUUCAUAAUAAUGGACUAUUCCACCCUGACAGAGUUCCAGUGAAUUGUUUCGCACCGU